rnacentral:rRNA from 1 species
AUUGAACGCUGGCGGCAUGCUUUACACAUGCAAGUCGAACGGUAACAGGGUGCUUGCACCGCUGACGAGUGGCGAACGGGUGAGUAAUGCAUCGGAAUGUACCGUGUAAUGGGGGAUAGCACGGCGAAAGCCGGAUUAAUACCGCAUAAGCUCUGAGGGGGAAAGUGGGGGACCGAAAGGCCUCACGUUAUACGAGCAGCCGAUGUCUGAUUAGCUAGUUGGUGAGGUAAAGGCUCACCAAGGCGUCGAUCAGUAGCGGGUCUGAGAGGAUGAUCCGCCACACUGUGACUUAGACACGGCCCAGACGCCUACGGGAGGCAGCAGUGGGGAAUUUUGGACAAUGGGCGCAAGCCUGAUCCAGCCAUGCCGCGUGUCUGAAGAAGGCCUUCGGGUUGUAAAGGACUUUUGUCCGGGAGCAAAUCCUAGUGGUUAAUAACCGCUGGGUCUGAGAGUACCGGAAGAAUAAGCACCGGCUAACUACGUG